AAGCAUAGCAUUCUCCAAGCUCUCUCUCUCUCUCUCUUUAGAAUUCUCUUUAUUGCUAUCUUGCUCACUUAGCAUUUUCUUUCAGUUGUUCUAGGCUUACUUAGCAUCUUUUGUAGGCAAAAGUAUUUAAGUGCUGCACGGGUUGAGGCGUUCGAGAUUUAAGUCCGUGACAAGUGGUAUCAGCCAGGUUCUUAAAGGUUAAGCAAUAGCAGCGACAGGGUCGGAAGUUACCGAGCACGUUGGCAUUCAUGAGAGGGAUGCACUCACUCCAACCGGCAAGGAAAAAACAGGGUAAGUCGU
rnacentral:lncRNA from 1 species